CAUAAAAUUUUAUGUGUAUAACAUUUAUUCCGCGCAAAACGCAGAUCUUAAUCUAGUAUUUACAUUAGGAGACUCAUUCAAACUCCUUGCAGUGGGCCUUUAUAUACAAAUGGGUCACUUCUUUAAUAAUUAUCAAAAUAAUAUUCUAUCUUUUUAUAAAAAAUGUCACUUAUACACUUUCACAUAUUAAAAAAUAAUUAAAAUGUAUUUAUGUUUUCACUAAUAUAUAUGUUUAACCAACAAUUACCUUCAUAGAUAAAUUUUGACUUUACAAUAUCAUAAUAGACACUCCUCACUUGAUACAUAUUUUUUCACUGUUCAAAGACUAAAAUACCCAAUAAAAAGUUACUCACUCUCGUUACUCUCUCUCCAACCAAUAUUUAAAAAUUAAUAAUUGUGAAUUGAGGAAAAAUACAAAUAAAAUGGCACAUGGAGUGGUGGAUUCUGAAAGGUGUCACGUCUGACCAACACUUUGACGAAAGCUAAAGAUGAAUUAUUUCCUUCUUCCCCAAAACUCAAUAUGCUAAAGAAGUUUAUAUGUUUGUGUGUGUAGGUCUAUGGAUUAGCUUUGUGACAUGCUCCUCAGAUAUUAAAACAUAAACUUGUGGUUUCAUUUUGUAUCUACUGGGGAUAUGGAGAAUAAUGGUCAGUUGGUGACUUUGCGGUUUUUCCGAAGACAGUAAAUUUUUUACGCCUCCGUCUGUGGUUCCUGCUGUCAAUUACGGACAACCCGGUUUGCUUGGUUCUCCUUCGGAAUAGCAGAUUUGCAACUCUUCCUUAUGUCCAUCGAAACUGAGGCUCAAUCGAGCUUAGCGUCCGUCCAAGUCGAAGAUGAGCUGAGAAACCGCCAUCUGGGUGAAGCUGUGGUGGUUCGAGGUUGGAGCCGCCAUGGACAAAAGCUCGAAGAAUUAUAAAUUUUUGCAUUCCUUGAACUUUUGUAUGUCUUCGUUUCUGCCCCAUUCAUUUCAAAUGUGCAGAUUUCUCUUUGAUUUGACUUCGAACUUUUCAAUUAUACACUCUAGACCCUGCUUUCAUGCAAUUAUGUAUGAAAAUACAAAAUAAAUAUGUGUGUCCACAACUUAUAUGUAAUUUAUGUGUUCACAAUGCAUUAGCCCAAAUUAUUUCUUUAUCUAUCCACAACAUAUAUAUCUACAUAUUCUCUGUCCACAGAGC
rnacentral:lncRNA from 1 species